CCUACGGGAGGCAGCAGUGGGGAAUUUUGGACAAUGGGGGAAACCCUGAUCCAGCCAUCCCGCGUGAGUGAAGAAGGCCUUCGGGUUGUAAAGCUCUUUCGAAAGUGAAGAAAACUUAUUUCGUAAUACGUUAUGAGUAUGACGGUAACUUUAGAAGAAGCACCGGCUAACUACGUGCCAGCAGCCGCGGUAAUACGUAGGGUGCGAGCGUUAAUCGGAAUUACUGGGCGUAAAGCGUGCGCAGGCGGUUUUGUAAGUCAGAUGUGAAAUCCCCGAGCUUAACUUGGGAACUGCGUUUGAAACUACAAGACUAGAGUGUGUCAGAGGGGGGUAGAAUUCCACGUGUAGCAGUGAAAUGCGUAGAGAUGUGGAGGAAUACCAAUGGCGAAGGCAGCCCCCUGGGAUAACACUGACGCUCAUGCACGAAAGCGUGGGGAGCGAACAGGAUUAGAUACCCUGGUAGUCCACGCCCUAAACGAUGUCAACUAGUUGUUGGUGGAGUAAGAUCCAUGAGUAACGUAGCUAACGCGUGAAGUUGACCGCCUGGGGAGUACGGUCGCAAGAUUAAAACUCAAAUGAAUUGACGG
rnacentral:rRNA from 1 species